rnacentral:miRNA from 1 species
CAGAGUAGGCAAAAAAACAAUU